ensembl:lncRNA
GCAGUGCGCAGGCGCGGGAGUUCCAAAGCGAAACUGACUACGAACCAGACUGCUGCUCUACGGUACCGGAGAAACGUUUAACAAACUGAUAUCAGGCGUCCAGAAUGUACAGCCUAAGUAAAUGGUUUGGGAGCGAAGGAAUGCGGAUGAGGAGUUUCUACAGUGUGAACGGCAGUAAUGGCUGUAGUCUCCGCAUCUGUGAGGAAUUUAAGCUAAAGUUGAAGGCCAAGGGUCAGACUGAGGUGAUGUUACCAAACCAAUGUGACUACCUCCUGGCCUUCUGUACCAUCAGUACACGGCCGGGUAUUGAUAUCCAUGAGACUAUGGAGAAAUGUCCAGGUGGAAAGCAGGUUAUUUUGGUGGUGCUACAUCAUACCUAUGACCAUGGAAAGUUUGUCUCUCCCAAGGCAAAAGAGAUUUCAGCAAACAUCCUCCUCAGUGUGGACGUCAUGUUCUAUGAGGGAAAGAUGCUGGAAUGCCCCCACAAUGAAAGGGAAUUUGAUAAGAUCCUGAAAAUAGUUGGAUACCCCUAUUCUACGUUCAACCGUUUGAAAAACUGGGUCAUCCGCAUGUGCUAUUGGUUGGUAAAACCGAAGGUGCUGCUGGCUAUUCUCGUGUUCGGAGGGACACUGUGGUUUAUUUUCUCCAAUCGAGAAGUACCAAAGAAAGAUCGCAGUCUCUUCCGCAAGGACUCUGCCAGUUUAUGGAACUACUUGCCAACAUUUUCGAGUCCAUCACCUUGAUGAAUCUAGUAAUUAAGGAUGCUGUUUGUAACAUGUUGAUGGAUGUAAUUAUUCCAGGUGCUGUAGAUAAGAUUUGAAAUAGCGGAAGAGAGCAAGCCAAACAAAAAUAUGUUCUCACCGAGCAUUCCACUCACUAAUAGCUGAAUGAUGCAUGGCAUUUCUAUACAAUUAUUAAACUCUAUAUAAUAUAAUAAUAGAUCUUAAAUCUAUCAUUUAUGAAUUAAAUACAUCAAAACGUCUAACUAUAAUCUAGAUAAAUAGGGUUUGUUUACAACCAACUGUGUUAAUGUGUUGCACCAAAUGUGUAUCCAAUUCAUAAAGGAAAUAAAAUACUGAAGAUAUAUAUUUUAGUGACUAUGUAUAAUGAUGUAGCCCAUACACUGGUACACAACCAACAUUAGCUAUUCCAGGCCUCCAGUGUAUAACAAAUACCGGCAAAAAAUGCUUAAUUACAAAAUAGUACAAAAAAAUAGGUUUAGGUUCGUAACACACACACUUGAAAAUAUACAGCAGCAGGUCCCAUGCCUCAACCACACAGUAAGAAUAGAUCACAAUCAUCAACCAACGAACCAAUCAAUACACAGCGCUAGAUGCUGAUGUGUUAUAGUAUAGGUUAUACUGGGAGAGGUUGAUGCUGCUGCUAAGAUUAUAAUGGGAGUUGUUGAUGCUGCUGGUAGAGUCACUCAAACAUCACAGCGAGUUCGCACGAGACGGUUUUUAGUGGGCACGAGACAGUGACUAGUUGGUCCGGGAACCCAUCUCGUGCGGAAUAUAUAUAAUAUAUGUAUGUAUGCUAUGUACAGUGUUGUGCCUGGACGCGUUCAUUGAACGAUAGUUCAUGAACUCGUUCAUAUUUUCGGCGAACGUGAACUGAACGUACUGUAUCACUGCCUGAUGAACGUUACUGUGAACUCGUUCAUUCUGGUGUCUGUGAACGGCACGCGCACUCGGUUUAACUUCGUUCAAUUGACCUUUCGCAAAAGCCCCGCCCCCCUUAGUUACCGUUGCUAGCCCGACAAGCUUCUUGACGCCGACGGAGUGUCAACACAGUGUCAUGUCGGGGAAAAAUAUAGUGGUGCAUGUCAGUGACUCUUUUUGGAGCAAUACUUGUGCGAUAUCCUCCAGAUCGAGGCAAAAGGGGUUACAGUAUGCGGUGGAGGGAUACAUUAAAAACAUUAAAAUAAACAAAGAAGGGGACACUACGACUGUCGAGGCGAAAGCGUACCGGUCAAUGGCAAAAUCAGAGAAACCCCAUGAUCUCUACCUCACAUGCAACGAGCACAGCCUUUUGGACCAGUUAUGCUCUUGCACUGCCGGGUAAGUUCAGGACACUUGUAUACUUCAGGAGGAUGUUGACUGAAAUAUUUAAAUUAGUUAGAUAGUCAACAUCCUUUCAACUAUCCUUUCUAGCAAGAAGCAACGUCAUCAGAGUCUAGCUUGUUACAAUAUGUUGUUACAACAUGGAUGUAAGGUUACAUAUCAAGGCACUCUAAUAUUGCAAUAACUAGCUAGUAACAUUAUUGUCAUAAGGCUGGUUGACAUAAGCAAUUCAUAGUCACUGCAAAUAGCAUUUCCAAAACAAACACCUAAUGCUACUUCUGGCUUAAAUCAGUUCACCAGGUUUUUGCUCUCACAUUGUGGGCCUUAUGUACACCCUGGAACUGUGCCGUGCCAGACAUAAUGACAUCUCCUCCACAAGCCAGCCUCAGCAGUGGCACAAAGCCAGGGGUAAAAAAAUAACUGGACAACCUGUGAGCAGUGGUGGUAGCCAAGGCCAAAGUCAACCGCAAGCGGAAACCCAUCAUGUCCAGCUAUAUCCACAAUAA